rnacentral:rRNA from 1 species
UACGUAGGGUGCGAGCGUUAAUCGGAAUUACUGGGCGUAAAGCGUGCGCAGGCGGUUCGUUGUGUCGGUGGUGAAAGCCCCGGGCUUAACCUGGGAAUGGCCAUGGAAACUGGCGAACUGGAGUGUGGCAGAGGGGGGUGGAAUUCCGCGGUGUAGCAGUGAAAUGCGUAGAGAUGCGGAGGAACACCGAUGGCGAAGGCAGCCCCCCUGGGCUAGCACUGACGCCUCAGGCACGAAAGCGUGGGGAGCAAACAGG